rnacentral:lncRNA from 1 species
AGCUAUGUAAGCCCUUUUUUCUCUAACUUUUUCAUUGGGCUUGGAGUGUAGUUUUCUUUUGCAUUUAGCUAAGUUGAGACAAUCAUUCUCUAGGUGACAUUCCUUGUCACACUCAUACAAGGUGGUUCCUUUCUUAUUAUUUACUUCACCAUUAGUUGAUCUUCUUAAUUGUACCAAGUAUCCUUCUUUGUGAUUUAAUUUGCUCUUCUUUAUAUAUUUGUUAUAAAUUUUACUAAUACCCUUAUUUAUUCAUCAUCAAUUGAGGAAUCAUCAGAUGUGUUAUAACUCUC